ACGGCCACAUCGCGAAACACCGGUUCUCGUUCGACCACCGAAGUUAAGUAACGUCGAGUCUGGUCAGUACUUGUAUAGGUGACGUUUUGCGAACAUCGUGUAAUG